rnacentral:misc_RNA from 1 species
UAUUUUUUGUUUUGUGCAAAUAGAUUCAGAAGGGAUCACUUCCCAAUAAUACCAGACUUGUUUAGGGUAGAAUUAUGGCUUCAUUUAAGUUUUUGGCGCUGCUCUACUCUACUUGUGGUUGUUUAGAUGUUCUAUUUUCUUGCAUGGGAGAACUAAUGACAUAAAGCUGAAUCUAUUUUGAUGUUUUUCUCUUCCUAAGAAAUGCAGUCCAUGCUUCUGAUAUUGAAUUAUUUGAGGGAUGGUGCAACUAAUUAGCUAACGUUGGCAGUCAAAAGUAAUUAUUGCGUGAUUCACGUGUGAAUAUGCAUGGAGGACAAUAGUGUAGCUGCAGAUUUGCGAUUGUUUCUGCCGUUACAGGAACCCUUUUGGACAUCACCUGAUCAACUAUUAAAACUUUAUAUACAUUAUGCAUGUGUUGAUGGUCUGCUAUCCUUAAGAUAUGUGUAUUUUGCUGUAACAAAGAAAUGAAAGAUGAAUCAAGGGAG